rnacentral:rRNA from 1 species
AACGCUGGCGGCAUGCCUAACACAUGCAAGUCGAACGAGACCUUCGGGUCUAGUGGCGCACGGGUGCGUAACACGUGGGAAUUUGCCUCGGGGUAUGGAAUAACUCAGGGAAACUUGAGCUAAUACCAUAUAAUGUCUUCGGACCAAAGAUUUAUCGCCCUGAGAUAAGCCCGCGUAGGAUUAGCUAGUUGGUGGGGUAAAGGCUCACCAAGGCGACGAUCCUUAGCUGGUCUGAGAGGAUGAUCAGCCACACUGGGACUGAGACACGGCCCAGACUCCUACGGGAGGCAGCAGUGGGGAAUAUUGGACAAUGGGCGAAAGCCUGAUCCAGCAAUGCCGCGUGAGUGAUGAAGGCCUUCGGGUUGUAAAGCUCUUUUACUCGGGACGAUAAUGACGGUACCGAGAGAAUAAGCCCCGGCUAACUCCGUG